rnacentral:rRNA from 1 species
GAUAAACGCUGGCGGCGCACAUAAGACAUGCAAGUCGAACGGACUUAACCUAUUCUUAACGAUUAGGAGCGGUUAGUGGCGGACUGGUGAGUAAUGUAUAAGUAACCUGCCUAUCAGAGGGGAACAACAGUUGGAAACGACUGCUAAUACCGCAUAUGCCACGAGAAUCACAUGGUUCAAGUGGGAAAGGAGCAAUCCGCUGAUAGAUGGACUUAUAUCUGAUUAGCUAGUUGGUGGGGUAACGGCCUACCAAGGCGACGAUCAGUAGCCGGACUGAGAGGUUAAACGGCCACAUUGGGACUGAGAUACGGCCCAGACUCCUACGGGAGGCAGCAGUCGGGAAUAUUGCGCAAUGGAGGAAACUCUGACGCAGUGACGCCGCGUGCAGGAAGAAGGUUUUCGGAUUGUAAACUGCUUUAGACAGGGAAGAAAAAAGACAGUACCUGUAGAAUAAGCU